CACGUAGGGCGCAAGCGUUGUCCGGAAUUAUUGGGCGUAAAGAGCUCGUAGGCGGUCUGUUGCGUCUGCUGUGAAAACUCGGGGCUUAACCCCGAGCCUGCAGUGGAUACUGGCAGACUAGAGGUAGGUAGGGGAGAAUGGAAUUCCCGGUGUAGCGGUGAAAUGCGCAGAUAUCGGGAGGAACACCGGUGGCGAAGGCGGCCUUCUGGACGGAUACUGACGCUGAGACGCGAAAGCGUGGGGAGCAAACAGG
rnacentral:rRNA from 1 species